rnacentral:rRNA from 1 species
UACGGAAGGUGCAAGCGUUAGUCGGAAUUAUUGGGCGUAAAGGGUGCGUAGGCGGAAAAAUAAGUCGGACGUGAAAUUCUGAGGCUUAACCUCAGAGCUGCAUCCGAAACUGUUUUUCUCGAGGAAUGGCGGAGAAGACGGAAUUCCAUGUGUAGCGGUGAAAUGCGUAGAUAUAUGGAAGAACACCUGUGGCGAAAGCGGUCUUCUAGCCUCAUCCUGACGCUGAGGCACGAAAGCAAGGGGAGCAAACAGG